UACGUAGGGUCCGAGCGUUGUCCGGAAUUAUUGGGCGUAAAGGGCUCGUAGGCGGUCUGUUGCGUCGGGAGUGAAAACUUACAGCUUAACUGUGAGCGUGCUUUCGAUACGGGCAGACUUGAGGCAUUCAGGGGAGAACGGAAUUCCUGGUGUAGCGGUGAAAUGCGCAGAUAUCAGGAAGAACACCCGUGGCUAAGGCGGCUCUCUAGUACGGUACUGACGCUGAGACGCGAAAGCGUGGGGAGCGAACAGG
rnacentral:rRNA from 1 species